rnacentral:rRNA from 1 species
AGUGAACGCUGGCGGUAGGCCUAACACAUGCAAGUCGAACGGCAGCACAGUAAGAGCUUGCUCUUACGGGUGGCGAGUGGCGGGCGGGUGAGGAAUACAUCGGAAUCUACUUUUUCGUGGGGGAUAACGUAGGGAAACUUACGCUAAUACCGCAUACGACCUACGGGUGAAAGCAGGGGAUCUUCGGACCUUGCGCGAUUGAAUGAGCCGAUGUCGGAUUAGCUAGUUGGCGGGGUAAAGGCCCACCAAGGCGACGAUCCGUAGCUGGUCUGAGGGGAUGAUCAGCCACACUGGAACUGAGACACGGUCCAGACUCCUACGGGAGGCAGCAGUGGGGAAUAUUGGACAAUGGGCGCAAGCCUGAUCCAGCCAUACCACGUGGGUGAAGAAGGCCUUCGGGUUGUAAAGCCCUUUUGUUGGGAAAGAAAAGCAGCAGGUUAAUACCCCGCUGUUCUGACGGUACCCAAAGAAUAAGCACCGGCUAACUUCGUG